rnacentral:lncRNA from 1 species
CAGGUGUUCCCGGACAUAGCAGGUGUUGAUCAUUUCGCGCAGUUGAUUUUCAGGAGAUUUUGAGGUAGCUGCCAUGUUCCGCAGACCUUGUCUCUCCUUCUCUAUCUCCUUGUUUACUGUAUUUGGUCUCAGACUGUUAUAGAUCGUAUUUUACAGACUUGUAGUCAUAUUAGAGGCCGGGGUCGAGGUAGAGGUCGAGGUGUAGCUCGUACCACAGUUGGACCAGCACCUGUAGUACCACCAAAUGCUCCAGCUCGGGAGCAGAUUCCGGAUAUAGCUGAGCCGAUAAGAUCAGCUCAGGCACCAGCUUUGUCCAUUGAGAUUCCAGGCUUUCAGGAGACUUUGGCCCAGAUAUUGGCAGCCUGCACUGGUAUUGCUUAGGUAGUUUCGGCUCAGGCCACACCUGCCACUUCUCAGGCCGGAGAGGUAUUCAUACCCCUGUUGCCCAUACUCCAGACCAGGUAGUACAAGGACUUCAUAUAUCGGGAGCACUACCAGCCCAGCCGGUUACAGCUGCUCAGGCCCGGUAGUUCUUG